CGCGGGGUGGAGCAGCCUGGUAGCUCGUCGGGCUCAUAACCCGGAGGUCGCAGGUUCAAAUCCUGCCCCCGCCA
rnacentral:tRNA from 1 species